ACUCCUACGGGAGGCAGCAGUGGGGAAUUUUCCGCAAUGGGCGAAAGCCUGACGGAGCAAUACCGCGUGUGGGAGGACGCUUUUUGGAGUGUAAACCACUUUUAUUAGGGAAGAAGAACUGACGGUACCUAAUGAAUCAGCAUCGGCUAACUCCGUGCCAGCAGCCGCGGUAAUACGGGGGAUGCAAGCGUUAUCCGGAAUUAUUGGGCGUAAAGCGUCCGUAGGUGGCUAAUCAAGUCUGUUGUCAAAGCGUGCGGCUUAACCGCAUACGGGCGAUGGAAACUGAUGAGCUAGAGUGCGAUAGGGGUCAGGGGAAUUCCCGGUGUAGCGGUGAAAUGCGUAGAUAUCGGGAAGAACACMAGUGGCGAAAGCGCCUGACUGGGUCUGCACUGACACUGAGGGACGAAAGCUAGGGGAGCGAAAGGGAUUAGAUACCCCUGUAGUCCUAGCCGUAAACGAUGACAACUAGGUGUGGUUCGUAUCGACCCGAGCCGUGCCGUAGCCAACGCGUUAAGUUGUCCGCCUGGGGAGUACGCACGCAAGUGUGAAACUCAAAGGAAUUGACGGGGGCCCGCACAAGC
rnacentral:rRNA from 1 species